GAUGAACGCUGGCGGCGUGCCUAAUACAUGCAAGUCGAACGCUGGAAAUCUAGCUUGCUUGAUUGGAGGAGUGGCGAACGGGUGUGUAAUACAUAAGCAACCUCCCCACGAAGACCGGGGUAAUCUCUGGAAACGGGGACUAAUACCGGAUAGGUAUUUGGAAGGCAUCUUUUGAUAAUUAAAGGUUAAACUCACUGGUGGAUGGACUUAGGGCGCAUUGGUUUGUUGGUGAGGUAACGGCCCAGCAAGACGAUGAUGCGUAGCCGUGCUGAGCGUGUGACAGGCCACAUUGGGACUGAGACACAGCCCAGACUCCUACGGGGCGCAGCGGUAGGUAACUUUCGGCGAGGAGGGAAAACCGGACAGAGCAACGCCGCGGAAGUGAUGACGGCCAUCGUGUAGUAAAGCUCUGUUGUAAGAGAAGAACGGUAGAUAGAUAAUAACUAAAUGACGGUACCUAACCAGAAAGCCACGGCUAACUACGUG
rnacentral:rRNA from 1 species